CCUACGGGUGGCAGCAGUGGGGAAUAUUGGGCAAUGGGCGCAAGCCUGACCCAGCAACGCCGCGUGAAGGAAGAAGGCUUUCUGGUUGUAAACUUCUUUUGUCAGGGACGUAGCAAGUGACGGUACCUGACGUAUAAGCCACGGCUAACUACGUGCCAGCAGCCGCGGUAAUACGGAGGUGGCAAGCGUUAUCCGGAUUUACUGGGUGUAAAGGGCGUGUAGGCGGGGAAGCAAGUCAGAUGUGAAAACCACGGGCUCAACCUGUGGCCUGCAGUUGAAACUGUUUUUCUUGAGUGCGGGAGAGGCAAUCGGAAUUCGGGGUGUAGCGGUGAAAUGCGUAGAUAUACGGAGGAACACCAGUGGCGAAGGCGGAUUGCUGGACAGUAACUGACGCUGAGGCGCGAAAGCGUGGGGAGCAAACAGGAUUAGAUACCCCGGUAGUC
rnacentral:rRNA from 1 species